GAGGGGUGCAAACGUUAUUCGGAUUUACUGGGUGUAAAGGGUGUGUAGACGGGUUGUUAAGUUCGUUGUUAAAUCUUCCGGCCUAACCGGAAGCUCGCGAUGGAAACUGGCAAUCUAGAGGAUGGAAGAGAGAAGUGGAAUUCUCGGAGUAGCGGUAAAAUGCGUAGAUCUCGAGAGGAACACCGAUGGCGAAGGCAGCUUCUUGGUCCAUUCCUGACGUUGAGACACGAAAGCGUGGGGAGCAAACAGGAUUAGAUACCCUGGGUAGUCCACGCUGUAAACGAUGAUCACUAGAUGUUGGCUCUGUUUUUGCAGAGUUAGUAUCGAAGCUAACGCGUUAAGUGAUCCACCUGGGAACUACGAUCGCAAGAUUA
rnacentral:rRNA from 1 species